GAUGAACGCUGGCGGCGCGCCUAACACAUGCAAGUCGAACGGUUAAAGCACCUUUUAGGUGUGUAUAAAGUGGCGAACGGCUGAGUAACACGUGGGCAACCUGCCCUCCUCUUGGGGAUAGCCUCGGGAAACCGAGGAUAAUACCCGAUACUUCAAUGUGGCCGCAUGACGACAUUGAGAAAGCUUUUUGCGGAGAAGGAUGGGCCCGCGGCCUGUUAGCUUGUUGGUGGGGUAGAGGCCUACCAAGGCAAUGAUGGGUAGCUGGGUUGAGAGACCGACCAGCCAGAUUGGGACUGAGACACGGCCCAGACUCCUACGGGAGGCAGCAGUGGGGAAUUCUUGCACAAUGGGCGAAAAGCCUG
rnacentral:rRNA from 2 species